UACAGAGGUCUCAAGCGUUGUUCGGAUUCAUUGGGCGUAAAGGGUGCGUAGGCGGCGCGGUAAGUCGGGUGUGAAAUCUCGGGGCUUAACUCCGAAACUGCAUUCGACUACUGCCGUGCUUGAGGACUGGAGAGGAGACUGGAAUUUACGGGUGUAGGAGGUGAAAUGCGUAGAUAUCGUAAGGAAGACCGUGCGAAGGCGG
rnacentral:rRNA from 1 species